rnacentral:rRNA from 1 species
GAUGAACGCUGGCGGCGUGCCUAAUACAUGCAAGUCGAGCGAACAGACGAUGAUCUUGCUCCUCUGACGUUAGCGGCGGACGUGUGAGGAACGCGUGUAUAACCUACCUAUAAGACUGGUAUAACUUGGGGAAACCGGAUCUAAUACGAGAGGAUAUAUUGAACCACAUUGGUGGAUGGUAAAAUACGGUUGUUCGGGCACGUAUAGAUGGUUCCGCGCCUGAUUAGCUAGUUGGUAAGUUAACGGUUUAUCAAGGCAACGAUGCGUAGGCGACCUCAGAGGGUGAUAGGCCACACUGGAAGUGAGACACGGUCCAGAGUCCUAAGGGAGGCAGCAGUCGGGAAUCUUACGCAAUGGGCGAAAGCCUGACGGAGUAACGCCGAGUGAGUGACGAAGGCCUUCGGAUCGUAAAAAUCUGUUAUUAGGGAAGAACAAAUGUGUAAGUAAAUAUGCACGUCUUGACGGUAACUAAUAAGAAAGCCACGGCUAACUACGUG